AUGAAGUAUUGUUAGUAUAAAAUAAAAAAUAAAGAAAUAAACAAGUCUCUUUUCUAACUAUUUCAUUCAAGGGGCCAGAACGACCACUUAAGUUCGCGAAAAGAACAGCAAUUUAUUUCGUCUAGGUGAGACUCACUGAGUCAGCCAGCUUAACCUAACCCAAACCAACCACUGAAGUGAUUUUCGGCCGAGCUCGUCCCAAAGCUUGAGAUAUUGGUCAGACGAGGACUCGAAUGCUGGCUUCCAAAUGGCAACACGCAAUGCUAAUCUCCUCAUCAAAUUUCUUAUGGAAGGGAUCGAACUAACGGAUCCUCCGGCGAGUGCUCCACCAAUGCGCCAACAACAACCAUGUAAUCUGUUGUUGUAUUAUUUAAUUCAUUAUUCACCAACAACUAUAUAUAUGUAUAAUUGGCGCUUUGUAACCGCUGAAGCGAUUUUCGGCCGAGCUCCUCCUCCAAUUUGUGGUUUUGCGUCUUGAAGUUUUUUCAACAAAUAGAGGGACCUACAAUUUAUACUAA